rnacentral:hammerhead_ribozyme from 1 species
AUCCAUUUGACGGGUCUCGAAUGGGACGAAACGUACGUCAUGGAU